rnacentral:lncRNA from 1 species
CCCUUAUUUGUGGACGAUCGAUGGGGUACUGGGGCCUCUUCUUUUGGUAACCGGUCAAUGGUAUUUUCGGACCAGUGCAAUGUGCUUGUGCACUUUCUUUUUAAGGCCAAACAUCAUUCAGGCAUAAAAAGUGAUGCGAAAUGCUUCUCUUUUCCUCCCCUGUUUUGUAAUGCAAACAGUGGUCAAAGGCUACCCAAGGAAUUUCGUCCUGUUAAAGAUGGUUAGAACUCAAAUGGACAAAACAAAAUACUGUAGUAAGCUCUACAAUUAUAUGCUAUGUAUAAAACUUAAAAAUAGUUUAAUUUCUGCGGAGAAGUGAGAAAAUCUUACGGGGACGCCUUGCAUAUAGCCAUGUAUUGGCUACAAGUAUACGCCAAACUCAUCUAAGGCUAAUUAUAUUGAUAGAGCAUAAUAUAAAAUAAACAUGAGCAUACUUUACUAAUAGAUAUUUAACAAUACUACUCUCUUCACGCAUAUUGACCUAUCACAUUUAUUAUUGAUAGGUCUUAUUCUCUAUCCUUACUUUACUCAUGCACCUAAACAUCUACACAUUUAUCUUUUCAUUUAUAUUCUUAUAAGUCAAAUUUUUAAUUUUUUAAAUUUAGAGUUAAUUUUGAGAAAUUUUUUAUCAAAGUUUAUUUUCUCAUUUUGCUUUUAGUUCGCUAAAUAUAUACAUAUAAAAUUUUUAUUUAUAAAUUAUUUUUGUUUAAAAAUAUAUCGUUUAACCAAUCAUUCCUUACUCUUGCAAUUUGAGUUAUCACACUUCUUUUAUUAUACUUAGCUCUUAAACGGCCCGAGCUUACCGAGAAGUCGGAGCAUACGUACAACUCCGUCUCUCUCAUGGCUCAUGGCAUGCAGGCAUGCAAGCAUACAGUGGACGCAUCACUGCUCUCACUUUUGCGCCAUCUCCCUCGUGAUCUGUUCCGCUGUGUCUCUCUGCUACUGCUGCUGCUGUUGCUGUUGCCAGAUGAAGCUGACGGCAAUGCAAUUGCAGGUGCUAGCAACUGAUCAGAGAAAAAAGAGAUACUGUAGAGAGAGAGAGAGAAUAGCCAUGCAUGAAAGACAAGCUAGUCCCCAGCUCGUGGACCUUCAAAGAAAGCGAGAGAGAGAGAGAGAGAGGGAAGGGCAAAUGCAUGCAGAUAUGCAAUGAUGGAAAAGGGAGAGAGGAGAGCAUCGGGAUGUUCCAACCAUGGGUUGGAUGGAAUCCGAAGGAGCACACUAGCGGAGCGAUGGACCAUCGUGGUCGGACCGCGAAAAUGAUGGCCGCCCGGCUAAGCAAAUUCAAUAGUAUAGCCUACUCCUAACUACAAUUUAUCUAUAGUCAAUCUAAUAGCUAAUUCAUACAAUAGUUAGCUACAAAAUAUAUACUAUUAUGUCUUACUUGUCAUACAUACAUUGUGUCUUAGAGUCCAUGCUGUAGCUAGCUCACCACUCUUCUCUAUCAUCUCUUAUCUUAUUAAAAUAUAAUUACAACCAUCUUAUAGCCUGCUAUUGUACCUGCUCUAACAUACUCCGUGUCUAUAAUCGUACCUGAUGGGAAGGUCGUCGACUCGACUAUAUGAACAGGUUCUGUGAACCUGCUUUUAUUUACCAGUCGUGGUCCAGGUUAUUCAUUUGGCUACUAUAACGACGGUUGAAUUAUUUUGAUACAUGGAACGCCGAUCUUACGUGUAUGUACUAAAUGUAUACUCUGAUCUUAAAAACAAGGGUUUCCACUUGAAAUCUAAAAAAGUCAUAUAAAACAUAGAUUCGGUAUAUGAUAUACUCUUAAGUUUGUAGUAACUAGAGCUUUCUUAAUGUUAUAUGUUCAUGUUUGUGAGCUAGAUCGAUCGUCAAAUUAAAUAGUUUAAUGUUAAUUUCGAAUGGUCUCAAAGGUGAGUAUGGGGUAUAGUCUUCUCGUGUUAGAUAUCGAUAUAUUGCAUAUACAGUGGAUCCCAAUACGCAUUAUGCCAGUGUUAUAUUUGCCAUAACUUUUAAAAAAGAGAGUUAACUAAUGUGCUCUUUUAUUACGUUGCUGUUUUAUUGUAUUUUUUUAACUUAAAAGACUGUUAAGACAGUGGACAUAUUUUUUAUGAAAACAAAGUAUUUUUUCUGCACAAGACCUAUCUCGCUUUGGCUACCUAUACCUGACCAUAGCCAAUCAGAUAGUCCGUCCCACUUGACCAGACAGUCCGACCAUUUUGACUGUUGCUACCUUAUGUGUUUUUUAGGAUCGCCUAUUCAACUCCUCUAGGCGAUGUCUCAACAAUUUCAUAUGUGUCCAAAUAAAUAUGUUCUAUUAUUAAGUAGAGAAUUAGCCAAUCAAGUCUAUUAAUUAAAUUAGAAUUAAUUUACAAGUCUUACUAGCUAGGAAUAUAAUUAAUUGACAAGUGCUUGUCAAGUAUUAUUUGUCAGCACGUACCCACCCUCAAGCGUGACAAAUGGGCAUUAAUCUCUGGGCGGCGGCUAUAUACGCGUAGCGUUGGCUAAAUCAACUUCUGUUGUGCAAUAUAAAAACGUCUAGAGUAAAGAUGGCUUCGGGCUAAUCCGUUGAAUGCAUCGGCUUGUCUUCCUUUCUGGGGGAUAAUUGCCUCAACUUGUCCGAAAUGUGCGAACGGGCAAGUUAGUCGUACGUGCACGUACGAUGUUUUGCUUAUCUCGAUUGUGUUAAUUUGAUCACGAAGAAAAUUUCAAACCUACACAACACUAGACUGUAUUUUUGUUUGAGCUCCCAACAUCUAACACAAAACUAGCUAAAACCUAUGUCCGUAGCUCACCGUUGCCAACAAAAGCUGGCCGGUGAUAUUCAGGCGCUCAGCAGCAUACCUCCAAGGCUCACUCCCCCUCCUCCUACAACUGGUUUUUUUUAAAAGAGUAAAGUACACAGCUGGAUCUUAAACUUGUCCGGCUGUGUCACUUGGGUUGCUCAACUCUUAAAAUAUGGAUUACUCCUCCCUAAUCUUAAUUUGGGUCACAUUAGAGAUCCAACUGGAUCUAAACCCACUACCCAAGCUGAUGUGGCAUGUCCAACGUGUAAAGGCCAUGCAUGGAUUUGUAUUAGCGGGCAGUUGAGGCGUAACUAAUUUGCAGUUAGACCCUUGCGCUUCCGAUUGGUGUUUUUGCAUGUACAAUAUUUGCCAAUGGUGUUGCCUUGCCUGUACUUAUUUAGUACUUGACAACAGAUUGAUCAGCUAGUCUUGAUAAAUUAAAUGCAGUAUUUAUUGAUGUAAUUCCAUUUUCAUCCUAAUUUCGGACAUCAUGAUUAAUAAAUUUAGAAUCGUUAAUCCAUCAAAUUGGUAAAUCGGUGUUCCUUGAUUAAUGCAGAUGUAAAGAUGAGGCAUCAAAUAAUCAAUUGAUAAGUUUAAACAGUAUGUAAUGGUAGCUUAGCAACGUGAUACUUUCAUGGGUACAAAAUCAACUAUCUUAGUAUUUUUCAUUUGCACAGACUUUCAGUCAUUCACCAAAGCAUCUUCAGUUUGCAUCACACAUACACAAGAACAGAACCAAAACCUUUUGUCCUUGAUUUCAGAACAUACUAAAACCCUAGCACAAAAAAUGAAGUUCUACCUAAAGAAUGAUAAAUACAUGUCCAAAAUCAAACAAGAACAACUCAUGUGCAAGGAAGACAAGGUGAUUAGGAUUUAAUUCACUCACCAUACAAGGGCGUCCUUUCUCCUUGUCGCCGCAAUCUGGCCACCAUCUCGUGGGUGAUGCCUUGGACAGCGGUCUUGCAUUCACAACGUCCCUACUCCUCGCUG